GUGGGGAAUAUUGGGCAAUGGUCGGAAGACUGACCCAGCCAUGCCGCGUGCAGGAAGACGGCCCUCUGGGUUGUAAACUGCUUUUAUCUGGGAAGAAAAAGGCCAUGCGUGGCAAAUUGCCGGUACCAGAUGAAUAAGCACCGGCUAACUCCGUGCCAGCAGCCGCGGUAAUACGGAGGGUGCGAGCGUUGUCCGGAUUUAUUGGGUUUAAAGGGUGCGUAGGCGGCUGAUUAAGUCAGCGGUGAAAGACUUCGGCUUAACCGGAGCAGUGCCGUUGAUACUGGUUGGCUUGAGUGUCGGAGGGGUACAUGGAAUUGAUGGUGUAGCGGUGAAAUGCAUAGAUACCAUCAGGAACACCGAUAGCGAAGGCAUUGUACUGGCCGACAACUGACGCUGAUGCACGAAAGUGUGGGGAUCGAACAGGAUUAGAUACCCGAGUAGUCC
rnacentral:rRNA from 1 species